rnacentral:rRNA from 1 species
UACGUAGGGUGCGAGCGUUAAUCGGAAUUACUGGGCGUAAAGUGUGCGCAGGCGGCCGAGCAAGUCGAGUGUGAAAGCCCCGGGCUUAACUUGGGAAUUGCGCUCGAAACUACCUUGCUGGAGUGUGGCAGAGGAAGGUGGAAUUCCACGUGUAGCGGUGAAAUGCGUAGAGAUGUGGAGGAACACCAAUGGCGAAGGCAGCCUUCUGGGCCAACACUGACGCUCAUGCACGAAAGCGUGGGGAGCAAACAGG